GCAGCGGUGGUUCAGUGGUAGAAUUCUCGCCUUCCAUGCGGGAGACCCUGGUUCGAUUCCCAACCAAUGCA
rnacentral:tRNA from 1 species